CGCGGCCUAUCAGCUUGUUGGUGAGGUAACGGCUCACCAAGGCGACGACGGGUAGCCGGCCUGAGAGGGUGACCGGCCACACUGGGACUGAGACACGGCCCAGACUCCUACGGGAGGCAGCAGUGGGGAAUAUUGCACAAUGGGCGCAAGCCUGAUGCAGCAACGCCGCGUGAGGGAUGACGGCCUUCGGGUUGUAAACCUCUUUUAGCAGGGAAGAAGCGAAAGUGACAGUACCUGCAGAAAAAGCACCGGCUAACUACGUGCCAGCAGCCGCGGUAAUACGUAGGGUGCAAGCGUUGUCCGGAAUUAUUGGGCGUAAAGAGCUCGUAGGCGGUUUGUCACGUCUGCUGUGAAAAUCCAAGGCUCAACCUUGGACUUGCAGUGGGUACGGGCAGGCUAGAGUGCGGUAGGGGAGAUGGGAAUUCCUGGUGUAGCGGUGGAAUGCGCAGAUAUCAGGAGAAACACCAAUGGCGAAGGCACAUCUCUGGGCCGUAACUGACGCUGAGGAGCGAAAGCGUGGGUAGCAAACAGGAUUAGAUACCCUGGUAGUCCACGCCGUAAACGUUGGGCACUAGGUGUGGGUCUCAACCAACGAGAUCCGCGCCGUCGCUAACGCAUUAAGUGCCCCGCCUGGGGAGUACGG
rnacentral:rRNA from 1 species